rnacentral:rRNA from 1 species
AGAGUUUGAUCCUGGCUCAGGAUGAACGCUGGUGGCGUGCCUAACACAUGCAAGUCGAGCGAGGGAGAAAUCCCUAGCGGCGGACGGGUGAGUAACGCGUGGAUAACCUGCCUUAAACAGGGGGAUAACACCGGGAAACCGGUGCUAAUACCGCAUAAAACUAAUUCUAGGCAUCUGGGAAUAGUCAAAGGAGCAAUCCGGUAUUAAAUGGAUCCGCGUCCGAUUAGCUAGUUGGUGGGGUAAAAGCUCACCAAGGCGACGAUCGGUAGCCGAACUGAGAGGUUGAACGGCCACAUUGGGACUGAGAUACGGCCCAGACUCCUACGGGAGGCAGCAGUGGGGAAUAUUGCGCAAUGGGGGAAACCCUGACGCAGCAACGCCACGUGAAGGAUGAAGGCUUUCGGGUUGUAAACUUCUUUGAUUGGGGAAGAGAAAGGACAGUACCCAAAAACAAGCCACGGCUAACUACGUGCCAGCAGCCGCGGUAAUACGUAGGUGGCAAGCGUUGUCCGGAAUUACUGGGUGUAAAGGGCGUGUAGGCGGGAAUGUAAGUCAGAUGUGAAAUACCGUAGCUCAACUACGGGGCUGCAACUGAAACUAUAUUUCUUGAGUGCUGGAGAGGAAAGUGGAAUUCCUAGUGUAGCGGUGAAAUGCGUAGAUAUUAGGAGGAACACCAGUGGCGAAGGCGGCUUUCUGGACAGUAACUGACGCUGAGGCGCGAGAGCGUGGGGAGCAAACAGGAUUAGAUACCCUGGUAGUCCACGCUGUAAACGAUGGAUACUAGGUGUAGGAGGUAUCGAUUCCUUCUGUGCCGGAGUCAACACAAUAAGUAUCCCACCUGGGGAGUACGGCCGCAAGGUUGAAACUCAAAGGAAUUGACGGGGGCCCGCACAAGCAGUGGAGUAUGUGGUUUAAUUCGAAGCAACGCGAAGAACCUUACCAAGACUUGACAUACUAGUGAAUAAUGUAGAAAUAUAUUAGACCUUCGGGACACUAGAACAGGUGGUGCAUGGUUGUCGUCAGCUCGUGUCGUGAGAUGUUGGGUUAAGUCCCGCAACGAGCGCAACCCUUAUUGUUAGUUGCCAUCAUUAAGUUGGGCACUCUAACGAGACUGCCGGUGACAAAUCGGAGGAAGGUGGGGAUGACGUCAAAUCAUCAUGCCCCUUAUGUCUUGGGCUACACACGUACUACAAUGGCUACAACAGAGGGAAACAAUACUGUGAAGUGGAGUAAAUCCCAAAAAGUAGCCUCAGUUCAGAUUGUAGGCUGAAACCCGCCCACAUGAAGGAGGAAUUGCUAGUAAUGGCAGGUCAGCAUACUGCCGUGAAUACGUUCCCGGGCCUUGUACACACCGCCCGUCACACCAUGAGAGUUGAGACCACCCGAAGUCAGUAGUUUAACCGAAAGGGGGACGCUGCCGAAGGUGAGAUCGAUGAUUGGGGUGAAGUCGAAACAAGGUA